AAAGUCGUAACAAGGUUUCCGUAGGUGAACCUGCGGAAGGAUCAUUACAAAUCCAUCCACGUCUCAUUCCUUUGAGACCACGUUGAAAUGUUCCCUAGCGUUCCGCGCGAUCAUUGCGCGUGCUUAGCCUUCACCGGCCAGAGCGCGCAGUGUUGGCGACGACGGCGCUAGGCUUGUAAACUAGUAUCCUCUGUUGCUCAAAUGUAUCUUUCUUGAUUGUAAUGAUCAAGGCAAACAAAGUACAACUUAUAACAAUGGAUCUCUAGGCUCUU
rnacentral:misc_RNA from 1 species